rnacentral:tRNA from 1 species
UCUUGCUCUAGGCGGCUUGGAAAAAGGCGUUUCACCGCUCCAGCUUGCCGGCGCGUUUCAUACAUUUGCCGCGAAUGGAACGUAUACUGAACC